rnacentral:rRNA from 1 species
CACGUAGGGUGCGAGCGUUGUCCGGAAUUAUUGGGCGUAAAGAGCUCGUAGGCGGUGUGUCGCGUCGGCCGUGAAAACCUGUGGCUUAACUAUGGGCUUGCGGUCGAUACGGGCAUCACUGGAGUUCGGCAGGGGAGACUGGAAUUCCUGGUGUAGCGGUGAAAUGCGUAGAUAUCUGGAGGAACACCGGUGGCGAAGGCGGCAUCCUGGACCAACACUGACGCUGAGUGAGCGAAAGCCAGGGGAGCAAACGGG